rnacentral:misc_RNA from 1 species
GGAGGUAAAAGUCGUAACAAGGUUUCCGUAGGUGAACCUGCGGAAGGAUCAUUAUCAUGUAAUUCAGUCCCCUUGGCUGUGUUAUAUAUAUACCCACUCUGUGUACCUUCUCCUGUUGCUUCCGCUGGGUGUGUAAUUCGCCCGGCGGAAGGGUAAAAAUAACCUCUGAGUAUUGAUGAAAUCUCUGUCUGAACCGAAUAGAAAGAAAAAUGUUAAAACUUUCAGCAACGGAUCUCUUGGUUCUC